GUGUCAGCCGCCGCGGUAAGACGUAGGGGGCGAGCGUUACCCGGAAUUACUGGGCGUAAAGGGUGCGUAGGCGGCCCUUUAAGUCGGAUGUGAAAGCCCGCGGCUUAACCGCGGAAUGGCAUUCGAAACUGGAGGGCUUGAGUGUCGGAGAGGGUAGUGGAAUUCCCAGUGUAGCGGUGAAAUGCGUAGAUAUUGGGAGGAACACCAGCGGCGAAGGCGACUACCUGGACGAUAACUGACGCUGAGGCACGAAAGCUAGGGGAGCAAACAGGAUUAGAUACCCUGGUAGUCCUAGCCGUAAACGAUGGGUACUAGGUGUGGGUGGUUUCGAUACCAUCCGUGCCGUAGUUAACGCAUUAAGCAUCCCGCCUGGGGAGUACGGUCGCAAGGCUGAAACUCAAAGAAAUUGGCGG
rnacentral:rRNA from 1 species